UACGAAGGGUGCAAGCGUUAAUCGGAAUUACUGGGCGUAAAGCGUGCGUAGGCGGUUUGUUAAGUCUGUUGUGAAAGCCCUGGGCUCAACCUGGGAAUGGCAAUGGAAACUGGCGAGCUAGAGUCAGGUAGAGGGUGGUGGAAUUCCCGGUGUAGCGGUGAAAUGCGUAGAGAUCGGGAGGAACAUCUGUGGCGAAGGCGGCCACCUGGACCAUGACUGACGCUGAGACGCGAAAGCGUGGGGAGCAAACAGG
rnacentral:rRNA from 1 species